rnacentral:lncRNA from 12 species
UCUUAACUGAAAACUUGUCAGUCCUCUACUUCCUUGUGUUUCUCCUUCAGGAAAAAUACAAAAACAAGGACGCCUGGGUGGCUCCGCAGUUGAGCAUCUGCCUCUGGCUCAGGGCGUGACCCCGGGGUCCUGGGAUCGAUUCCCACAUCUGGCUCCUUGCAGGGAGCCUGCCUCUCCUUCUGCUGUGUCUCUGCCUCUCUGUGUGUGUCUCAUGAAUAAAUAAGUAAAAUAUUAAAACAAAACAAAACAAAAAAACCCCAAACAGUCCUUUGUGCCGUAUCUGGGAACCCUACUCCCAAUCUGGAUACUUGCCUAGACAUGUAGGUGUCUCCUUUACACGGUGUAACGUCCUCUGCCCUGAAACCUAGUUUCUAGUGGAAUGGGUUCCCGGCUUCCUUCUCUAGAACACGCCAGAAAGAUUCCCUAAGAGAAGCUGGCACUCUUGGAGGGCAGGCAACCAUGCUGCAAGAGCUGUUCCUCACACCCCAGCCUAGGAGGUGAGAGGCCAACCGCACAGCUGAGGAGGUGAGGGGACACCACCACCGCUCAGGAGAUGAGGGGUCCGUACCAUAGCUCGGGAAGUGAGAGAACACCACCACAGCCCAGGAGGGUUGAAGAACCACCAAAAACAGCGCCUACUGCUGAGUCGGCCAGGUCUCCAAGGCCUCCUCGCCCUGAAGUCAACUUCUCACUCCACGCCAAACCUCCGAGGGCUAACCCUUCCAAUGCUCUCACAUAAGCCUUGGCCACAAAGAACUCGAGCAAAGCCAGGACUCACACGUGGAAAUGGGCUGAAGGUGGCUGUGUGACCUCCUUACACGAGAAUGUCACAAAACCAGUUUGCUCAACAGCUCUCACACUCUCACGAGUGAAUGGACAAGUAUGAGCUGGAUGGCUGCUUCUAAUAACGUUGCUGCCCGCGGAAUCCUUUUGUACUCCAAAUGGAUGAGCCAAGUGUCAUGUUUGUUUCCCACUGUAAAAGUUUUACUAAGAAAGGAAAAUUAAAAAAAAAAAGAUUUUUUUUUUUCGAAUCCACUGGACUCUUUAUACCUUGACGUAGGAGGAACUGUCCCGGCGUUGAGGCUAAUGAGCAUGUGCGUAAUGUUUACAUAUCUUGUUCUGUGUUUCCUAUGAUAGUCUGUAAUCCUCCACUACCUAUUAACUACCUCUCUUGCAUGAAAUUGCCCGAUUUUAUCAAUUUUAUGUUACAGAAAAUGGUGGGGUAGGUGGAGAAGGUGGGUGAAUCCUUUCUGGGAUUAUAUGCUUGCAGUGACGGAGUCAGAAUGCAUGCCGCUCGGGGUUGGUGCACACAGCAGUGAUUUUGAACCGGGCCCCACCUCAACCCGACUUGGCUAAGCCCUCUUACAGUUGUCAUCCCAGGCAAACUAGUGUGGAUUCGAACCCUGGUCAACAUUAUGUCUUUCUCUAUAACAUGAUAGAAACAUGGGGAAAAGAGGACUCUUGCCUAUCCUUGUAGGGUUUUAUUUUAUUUUAUUUUAUUUUAUUUUUUUGGGUGGGGGAGUGACUCAGCCUGAACACCUACAUUUAGGGAGGCAAAAUUGCAGGACAGUCCCUGAAAGCGAGGACUCCUUUGUCACGAGGGUGUGAGUACUUCCAGUCCAUGAGGUUAUCUGGAAGGGUGCUGGGAGAAGGUUUUCUCUGGAUUCUGAGCAAACUGAACUCCAGGGAGAAUGACCUAACUAUUGAGAAGAUUCUGGCUCGAAUAUGACUUGGACCCUACUUUUCUUCCCAUUUGAAAUACAGAAAUUAGAAUAAUCUCAGUUUGGGGGCACCUGGGUAGCUCCGUUGGUUAAGCAUCUGACUCUUGAUUUGGGCUCAGGUCAUGAUGUCAGGGUUGUGGGAUCCAGCCCCGCGUCGGGCUCUGUGCACAGCUUGGAGUCGGCUUCUCUCCUUCUCCCUCCUCCAUCCCCCACCUGUGUGUUCUCUCUCUCUCUCUUUCUUUCAGGUAAAUAAAUAAAUCUUAAAAAAAAAAAAAAAGAGGAAU